UUGAUCCUAUCCGCCCUCCUGUCGCGCUCGGUUUGGUCAUGCCACCGGAUCCGCGCACCAUCAGACAGCGUUGUAACUGCGGUGGAUGCUCCACGUUGUUGCCCUUCGACUUUUCAAACUGGUAUUUUCAAAACUGCAGCUCUUUGCGCCAGAAGUACGAGUUAGUUGUACAGAAGUGACAACACUGUUGAUCGCCAUCUCUACAAUUCAGAUAAAAUGAACAGAAAGAAUGGGCCUGUCUCCAGCUCCACCAUUAGACGGAGGGUCCGUCAAGAUGUUUUGACUACAUCACUGUGAUUGAUGGGAAACUGAAUACAACUUUGACUGAUGUUCCACUUCAUAGAAUUCUUGACUAACAAAACGGUAGCAGUAGUGCCACAAAGCUAUACCAGCUUUGUGGCACU